UACGGGGGGGGCAAGCGUUGUUCGGAAUUACUGGGCGUAAAGGGCUCGUAGGCGGCCAACUAAGUCGGAUGUGAAAUCCCCAGGCUUAACCUGGGAACUGCAUCCGAUACUGGAUGGCUUGAAUCCGGGAGAGGGAUGCGGAAUUCCAGGUGUAGCGGUGAAAUGCGUAGAUAUCUGGAGGAACACCGGUGGCGAAGGCGGCAUCCUGGACCGGCAUUGGCGCUGAGGAGCGAAAGCCAGGGGAGCAAACGGG
rnacentral:rRNA from 1 species